GACGAGCGUUGGCGGCGUGCUUAAUACAUGCAAGUCAACUGAAGCAGUGGUAGCAAUCUCGCUGUGGAGGUGGCGCACGGGUGAGUAACACGUAGGUAAUCUGCCUUCAGGUCUGGCAUAACUCCGGGAAACCGGGGCUAAUAGCAGAUGAUGCAGCGGCUCGACAUCGAGACAGUUGUUAAAGCUAUGGCGCCUGAAGAUGAGCCUGCGUCUGAUUAGCUAGUUGGCGGGGUAACGGCCCACCAAGGCAACGAUCAGUAGCUGGUCUGAGAGGAUGAUCAGCCACACUGGAACUGAGACACGGUCCAGACUCCUACGGGAGGCAGCAGUAAGGAAUAUUGCUCAAUGGGAGAAAUCCUGAAGCAGCAACGCCGCGUGAGGGACGAAGGGCUUUUGCUUGUAAACCUCUGUAGUGAGAGAAAAAAAUCCCAAUCUUUGGGACAUGAUGGUAUCUCAAAAGUAAGCCCCGGCUAACUACGUG
rnacentral:rRNA from 1 species